ensembl:lncRNA
GGGAGUUUAAAAGUCUCUGCAGGUCUCCUGGGCGCUGGGGAAGUCUGUUGACAAAGCCACCAGCUGUCCCCAGUUGGAGCCAAGGGAGACAGACUCCUCCCCGAACCACCACCCACACUGGGAGAGUGUUCCUACCAGGACCCAGCCAGCAACGGAACUUGGACCAUCAUGAAGCCUCUGAUCACGGGCUCCAACCGACCUCCUCUCCAGCUGCCACACUAACAAGAGCAAUGGCACAAGACCUCACUCACCCAGCAAGUGCCAGGAAGAAUGGGUCCUGUCCAGAGUAAACACUGAGCAUCCUUCUGUCUGCAAACCUGUUCAGCCUUCAAAACCUAAUGUCCACAGCACCUCAUCCAGGAAACCUCGAGCUGCCUAGAGACAGGAGUGUCACUGGGAAGCCCUGGUUGUCCUGGAACUUGCUCUGUGGAUCAGGUUGGCUUCAAACUCAGAGACUGCCUGCUUCUGCUCCGGAGUGCUGGGAUUAAAGGCAGUUGCCACCACAGCCUGACAAUUUUUUUAAGAAAAAGAAACAGAAACUAAGGUCCAGGGAGAGUAGGAAUCUGUCAGAGCACCAUAAAGUGGAAUCUAGACCAGAGGAGGACCCUGGUUGCCAGAUCUUACCUGGUCUGUGUGAAUGGGACACUGGGUGGGGGAGGGGGGUGUCACCUGCCCAACAUAGAUUCCCCAGGAUCAAGUCUAGACUCUAUUCCUGGAUCCUUGGAGAGGUACCAUAUGGGAAGAGAAGCACUGUGGACCCUGAUGGGAACCAGCAAUAUGGCCAGCCCUUUGUUUUACCCUGCCUGCCUGCUUCAAGGUGAGCAUUCUUAUCUCUAUGUGUCCACCUGUUGGGGUUGGAUGUGAGAUGGAGUAAGAGCCGGAGACCAGAGAGGAGAAAGUGAGGGACAUGACAGGGAUGUCCACACAAAGCACUUAAGACAUGCAGUCACACUCAGGGUACCCAAGAUCAACCCUUUCCCUGCAAGGUGCCCUCCAGCUAGUGCUUAGUUUAGAGGACCAGAAUCCAGGGUCAGCCCUCCCUUACAGUCAUUUGCCUUAGUUCCAGUUGUUAAUUGAACAGCAGUGAUGGUUUCCUUCUUACAUUACUAUAAAGGUUAAGUGAGAUAUUAGGAAACUGCUUAGCAUCUUGUCUAGCAUAGUCAGCCUUGUCCCUGAUAUUUUUGCCCAAUAUCACCUGUCUUCAAAUGCCUUCCUGGAGCUGGCAGCCGGUAGACACUAGAGAUUCCAAAGGGCCAGCUGGUUCCCUGGGUGAAAAAAUGAGGUAAUCAAUGAAAAGGCCUGAAGGAUCCCAACCCCUUCCUGGCAUCCCAGGACCAGUUCUUCUGAGGAAAGAAAGGCAGAGAGAGUAAUCAGGAGCAGAAGGUCCCAGUGGGAGGGCUGAAGCCUACCAUCGGAGACAUGUGUUGAGGGAUGCCCUGCAGUCUGGAGACCAGUGACUUCUGUGGGAAGAACAGGUGGGACUCUGUCCUUCCUGGAGAGGAGGCCUACUGGGCCAAUGAGUGACAAGCAUGAAGUAUCAGAGCCACAGUCUGAUGUAAAGAUUUGGAAACCUACCUCUAAAAUUCUGUCAUCUUAAGUUCUGACGGACAUUGCUUCUUGGUCCUUUGGCUGUGGUCACAUGAAAAGUUCUGAAGUGCCAUGUCUUUAUGAGUCUUGGGUUCUAAUAUGGGAUCCUCAGGUUCUAAAAUUGCUCUGUCAUUGGAAACAUAGCAAAACCUAGAAUACACAUCUGUGAUUAAGAGGGCUAACCUAGCAGUUGUGAGGCCCUGGAUUCAAUGCUCACGCAAGGGUGGUGGUGGGAGGGGCAGAGAAGGAAGGGAAGGGAAGGGAAGGGAAAGGAAG